GAUCAUGGCUCAGGACGAACGCUGGCGGCGUGCCUAACACAUGCAAGUCGAACGAAGCACUGCGGAAAGAGACUUCGGUCAAUGGAAGCUUUGACUUAGUGGCGGACGGGUGAGUAACGCGUGAGGAACCUGCCUUUCAGUGGGGGACAACAGUUGGAAACGACUGCUAAUACCGCAUAAAGUGUUUUGGGGGCAUCCCCGGAACACCAAAGAUUUAUUGCUGAAAGAUGGCCUCGCGUCUGAUUAGA
rnacentral:rRNA from 1 species